CAUUCUCUCAGGAAUAAGUGGGUUCUCAUUCUUAGUUCCUGUGAGAACUGGUUGUUGAAAAAGAGCCUGGUACCACCUCCUCUCUCCCUUGAUGCUUUUCUCACCAUGUGAUCUUUGCACUCAUUGACUUCUCUUUCUCCCUCUACCAUGAAUUGAGACAGUCUGAAGCCCUCACCAGCAGAUACUCGUGCCAUGCAUCUUGUAUAGUCUGAAAAACUGUGAGCCAAAUAAACCUCUUUUCUUUGUAAAUUGCCAGGUUCAUGUAUUCCUUUAUACCAACACAAACAGACUAAUACAGUAUAUGUAUUAUAUAUACACAUGAGGAUUUGGAAUUAAGGAGUUAAACCACUCCAUAUCUGAAGCUUUUUCCAGCUCUUACUUCUAGGAACCAUGUUACUUGAACUAAGAUCUGUUGGGAAUCCUAUAGAAUUAAUGGUGACUAUGAUGACAAUUCCUGUAGAUAGUUAAUGUUUCUGCCUAGAUAGAGGAGUGGCACCUGUGAUCUUGGGUGCAAAAGUAUGUAGGCGGCCUUUACACUUCCAUUUUCAAAGGAACAGACUUAGUCUUUUUUGCUAUGCAGGGGUAGUAACUUCAUGUUUGGUGGGUUUUGAUGUCCAUGUGCUGGAGGCUGGAGGAACUUCUGUGUGUGAUACCAUUCUAUGUGAACUUUGAAGUUAGGAAGGAUAAGAUGAAGAAAGGGAAUCCUGGAAGUCCUAGAUUAUUUUAUCUGGGUUUGGCCUCCAUUGCUUUUUAUACGAUGAACAUAUAAUAUUGAGAGCCAAAUGAAAUUAAGUUAAAGAAGCCUCUGAAGUAGUGCUCUUAAAUUCCAUCCAUGACCCUAUCUGGUGCAAAACUUUAAUCAAUGUCUUGGAAAUUUGUACAGAAAGUAUGUUUAUUAUAAUUUAACUGUAGAAAAGGUGGGAAAGAUAGAUGACAUACAUGUUCACUUAUUACUUAAUGUUCAUCCCACAUUACUUAGACCAUUUGCUAUUAGCUGGCUAUCUAACUGCUCCCAGCCAAUAGACUAUAGGCAGCACACUUAUGAAAUGGUGUGAGAUGCUCUAGUUCUAUUAUGCUGUUGCAGUGAUUGUGAAGGGCUCAUAUUUUACAGCUACAAAGUAUUGAAGCCAAACUCAGCCUCGACCUCUGAGUGACUAUGUAGAGGAGAGCCCUUUGUUGGCCUUGUUGAGUAAGCAGUAUGAGCAAGACAUGAACUUUGUUGUUUUAAGUCACUGAGAUUUCAUGGUUAUAUAGCUGCCAUAGCCUAGACUAUCCUAACGAAUACACACAGGUAAAGAAUAUAUGUUGCAAAUAAAUCCUUAAAGACCAGAGUACUUGGAAAACCCGGUAAUCAGGCUGAAAGUAGUUGAGGAUGGUCAAGGAAUAACUUGAUGGCAGUUCAUGUGAAAAGUUACGAGGGAGCAGGAUGGCUAAAGAAGAUAAAUUACAUCAUGUCUGCAGUCUUCAAAAAUUUGAGAAAUAUUGUAAGAGAAGUCAUCUUGUUCUAGGUUCCUCUAGAAGGCAGAAGCAAGACCAACAUAGAAAAAUUCUGAGAGAUAUAUAGACUCCAUUUAACAAUGAAAAUAUUAUCAAUAUAAGCUAUUUAUCAGUGGAUAGAGAUGUCUUAAUGGUGAGUUUAGGAAUAGUCAAAAUAGUCACACUGAGGCCAGAUGUCUAAGAAUCAGGGAUGCUAUAUAACCAAAUUCUUCAGUAUGUAAAAUUUUUGUCUAUAAAAUAAAUUAUGUUAAGAAUUUAUUCUUAACAUGAUAUUAUUAUAUCAUGUUAUAUAUAUAAUAUCAUAAUAUUGUUAUAUUAUGACCAUAAUAUCAGUACACAUAUUUUGAAAUGUGACAUGUUUUAUUUACUGAGAGGGGCACUUGGCUUAUAACAAUUCAUCUACAAUUUCAUGCAUCUUUUUGUGUUGUGGUUUGAACACUGCCUCCUACCACAAAACAAAAGUGUAUCAGGGAUGAUUUGGCUCAACUAAAUUAGAUAGGAUA